rnacentral:lncRNA from 1 species
AAAAAACCCGUAACCCCCUGGGGUUAUCCUGCGCUUGGAAGAAGAACUAGAAAAAGGAAAAAAUAUAGUGAGACUUUGAUUCUUCGUCGCCGUAGUAAAUAGGAGAGAAAAUCGAAUUUCUUUCUUCGUCUUAAAAAAAAUAGGAGUUAAUUAACUGUGACACGUUCACUAAAAAAAAAUCCUUUUGUAGCAAAGCAUUUAUUAAGAAAAAUAGAGAAGCUUAAUACAAAGGCGGAAAAAGAAAUCAUAAUAACUUGGUCCCGGGCAUCUACUAUUAUACCCACAAUGAUUGGCCAUACUAUCGCUAUACAUAAUGGAAGGGAACACUUACCCGUUUAUAUAAUCGACCUUAUGGUAGGACAUAAAUUGGGAGAAUUUUCACCUACUAUAAAUUUUAGAGGACACGCGAAAAAUGAUAAUAGAUCUCGUCGUUAAUUAAAUGAAUUCAAAAAAAUGAAUAAUGAAUAUAAUUUUUUUUUUUAGUGAGAGGUAAACCUUAUGAUAAAGAAGAAAAAGAAGAAAUCAUAUACUUCCGUAUAUGCUUUAGGGCAAUAUAUAUCUAUGUCUGCCCACAAAGCACGGAGAGUUAUUGAUCAGAUCCGUGGACGUUCCUACGAAGAAGCACUUAUGAUAUUAGAACUUAUGCCGUAUCGAGGAUGUUAUCCCAUUUUUAAAUUAGUUUAUUCUGCAGCAGCAAAUGCUAGUCAUAAUAAGGGUUUCAAAGAAACCAAUUUAGUCAUUAGUAAAGCUGAAGUGAAUCAAGGAAAUACGGUGAAAAAAUUAAAACCUCGGGCACGAGGACGGAGUUACCCAAUAAAAAGAUCCACUUGUCAUAUAACUAUCGUAUUGGAAGAUAUAUCCUUAUAUCAACAAUAUGAAGAAUAUUUAAUGUAUUUAAAAAAACCUGGAUGCAGCAAUGAAAACAUAAAUCUAACAUGUUACGAUACAUAUAGUAGUGGAGGCCCAUGGGACAAAAAAUAAAUCCACUUGGUUUCAGACUUGGUACAACCCAAAGUCAUCAUUCUAUUUGGUUUGCACAACCAAAAAAGUAUUCUGAAGGUUUAGAAGAAGAUAAAAAAAUACGAGACUGUAUUAAAAAUUAUGUCCAAAAAAAUAUAAGAAUAUCCUCUGGUAUGGAGGGAAUUGCACGUAUCGAAAUUCAAAAAAGAAUCGAUCUCAUUCAGAUCAUAAUCUAUAUGGGAUUUCCUAAAUUAUUAAUUGAAGAUAAACCCCGAAGAAUCGAAGAAUUACAGAUGAAUGUUCAAAAAGAACUUAAUUGUGUCAAUAGAAAACUCAACAUUGCUAUUACCCGAAUUUCCAAUCCGUAUGGGCAUCCUAAUAUUCUUGCAGAAUUUAUAGCUGGCCAAUUAAAAAAUCGCGUUUCUUUUCGAAAAGCAAUGAAAAAAGCUAUUGAAUUAACUGAACAGGCGAAUACAAAAGGAAUUCAAGUACAAAUUGCAGGACGUAUCGACGGAAAAGAAAUUGCACGUGUUGAAUGGAUCAGAGAAGGCAGAGUUCCUUUACAAACAAUUGAAGCUAAAAUUGAUUAUUGUUCCUAUACAGUUCGAACUAUUUAUGGGGUUUUAGGAAUAAAAAUUUGGAUAUUCGUAGACGAAGAAUAAAAAAACUUUAUUUGUCUUUACAUUUUAUCCAAUGAUAAAAAACGAAAACUAUGUAGUAUAACACUAUAAAGAAAUAAAAAUAAAAACUUGUAGUCUUCUUUUUUAUGUUUAAGAAAAAAAAAUAAGCAAUUCUAUAAGGUUGAAUAAACAUUUCCAUCAAAACUCCUUUGAUAUAAUUGCUAUGCUUAGUGUGUGACUCGUUGGUUUAGGGUUAGAUUACGAUAAAAAAAAAAAAGAACUUACCAACUAAUAACUACAGCAUUAAUAAAUAACCUAAGCAACUCAUUGCUUCGCAUUAUCUGGAUCCAAAAAAUUAGUCAAGAUAUGAUAGGCUGAUCAUAUCAUUGGAGCAACUGACUAAAAAAAAAGAAUAAAGAAAGAUGAUUAUUAAGUUAUGAAAGGUAAUCAAAAAGUAUGCGGAUAAAUGGAAGGAUGAAAGAAAGAGCGAAAAAAUUGAAUAUUAAUGAUAUAUGAUUCCAAUUUGGAAAAUCUAUGAGGUCACUGUAAGAAAAGCAAUGUAAUAAAGCAUCAAUACAGAUUCAUUCAUAAUAAUUAGAUAAAUCUGUUCCGAAAACAAAAAAUUAAGAGCCUUGAGCCAAUAAAAACUGAGAAAAUUGCCUAAAAAAAAAAAAGAAAUUCAAAAUUUCAUGUAAAAGCUCCAUUGUAGAAUUCAGGCCUAAUGAUUAAUCAAGAAGCGAUGGGAACGACGGAACCCAUGAAUAUAUAGGAUUCUAGUGAACAAGAAAUCUUAGUAAUUCAUUGGACAGGAUGGCGGAAUAAACCAGAAACUUUAUUAUCUAUUCUGAUUUCUUAUUUUGAUUCUGAGACCUCGGGGGAUAAACAGCAAACUUAAAUAGAUAUUGAAAGAGUAAAUAUUCGCCGGCGAAAAAUUGGUUUUUUUUUUCAAAUAAAAACAGUAAUAAAAGAUGAAAAAAACAAUGAAAAAAAUAAAAUAAGGAUUUGUUAUAAUAUCCUAACUCUAAUAAAAAUUACAUUUGUAAUGAUGAUAUUACGUUAUUUUUAAAUAAAUCGAAAUAAAAUUGAUCUUUGAUUCUAUUUCAAAAAAGACAUACACAAAUUUAGAAGAGAUAAGAUGAAAUAAAAAAAAAUACCAUGAUUAAUAGGAUUAAUCAUUAACUACAUCUAUAUCUUAAUUAAUCCUUUUAUUCGCGAGGAGCUGGAUGAGAAGAAACUCUCACGUCCAGUUCUGCAGUAGAGAUGGUAGAAAAAACCCAUCAACUAUAACCCAAAAAGAACCAAAUUUCGUAAACAACAUCGAGGAAGACUAAAAGGAAUAUCCUCUCGUGGGAAUCGUAUUUGUUUUGGCAGAUAUGCUCUUCAAACACUUGAACCCGCUUGGAUUACAUCUAGACAAAUAGAAGCAGGGCGACGAGCAAUGACACGAAAUAUACGACGUGGUGGAAAAAUUUGGGUACGUAUAUUUCCAGACAAGCCAGUUACAGUAAGACCCGCGGAAACGCGUAUGGGUUCUGGGAAAGGAUCCCCAGAGUACUAGGUAGCUGUGGUUAAACCAGGUAAAAUCCUUUAUGAAAUGGGUGGUGUACCAGAAAAUAUAGCCAGAAAAGCUAUUUCAAUCGCGGCAUCAAAAAUGCCUAUAAAAACCCAAUUCAUUAUUUCUGAAUAGGAAUAUAGAAUGAAAAAGCUAAAUAACAUUUAAGGAUAAAAAGAUUAUAAGUUUUUUUUUGACAAACAAUAUUUUUUUUACUUCGUCCUUUGCACUAAAAGAAGAGAUACAAAAAUAUGAUUCAACCACAAACCUAUUUGAAUGUAGCAGACAACAGCGGGGCUCGAAAAUUGAUGUGUAUUCGAAUAAUAGGAGCUAGUAAUCGCCGCUAUGCUCAUAUUGGUGACGUUAUUGUUGCUGUAAUCAAGGAAGCAAUCCCAAAUACUACUCUAGAAAGAUCAGAAGUGGUCAGAGCUGUAAUUGUACGUACUUGUAAAGAACUCAAACGUAAGAAUGGGACGAUAAUACGAUAUGACGACAAUGCCGCAGUUGUCAUUGAUCAAGAAGGAAAUCCAAAAGGAACUCGCGUUUUUGGGGCGAUCCCACGGGAAUUGAGACAAUUAAACUUUACUAAAAUAGUUUCAUUAGCUCCUGAAGUAUUAUAAGACCUAAAUAUCGAUAGUUAAUAUAGGAUAGGAUUAAA